rnacentral:lncRNA from 1 species
CGCUGCAACACCGACGCCUGCACUUCUCAAUCAUGGGACCUCUUCAGAGCGUUACGUCCGUGAUGUGACGUCAUAACGGAUGCUUCCGGAAGAUUCGGGAAUUAGAUUUUAGAUUAUGUCGGAAAAGUGUACCGCACACACACAUAUACACACGCGUUCACUGUGCACACUGUAUCACUGGAUGUAUCCUCGUCGCCAAUUAACUGUCCGGAAAGCGUAACGAGUGUGUAAUCGCGUUGACGGUCAAAAAUAUACUGACCUCAUUCUCGAGAUUCCGAUCGGUGUUACGUCCCAGCUGAUAACUACGGUGGCGCCCUCUCUUAGUUGAUUUCAGCAAUGAAUCUGACUAUGGGUGACGCAAUAAAGAAUUCAACGGAAAAGCAAAUAUCAAAUGAUACAGAUAUUGCGUGUUAUUUAUAGAAAGAAAGAAUCCGAAAUUCAAUGUGAAAUGUCAUUAACAAGUGGGAGUCUGGAAAAACAGAAGUAGGUACGAAAUAAUUCAUCGUCAAAGCGGGAUUAAAGUUGUCAGACAGCGAAGCAUGUUCGAAGUUUAAACUUUGAUUAACACGAGGAAAAUUAUGCCUCACCUGAUGGUCAAAACGUUUCUGUAGCAAGGAUCCUGGUUUCUCCAGCGAUGCAAUCAUUAAAACCAUCAAACCUGGUUGUUCCGUCAGACAUCGGGUGCCAGAGUGAAUUUCAUCAGGCCAUCGCCACCUUCUUAACA